rnacentral:rRNA from 2 species
GAAUUGACGGGGGCCCGCACAAGCAGUGGAGCAUGUGGUUUAAUUCGAAGCAACGCGAAGAACCUUACCAGGUCUUGACAUCCUUUGACCACCCUAGAGAUAGGGCUUUCCCCUUCGGGGGACAAAGUGACAGGUGGUGCAUGGUUGUCGUCAGCUCGUGUCGUGAGAUGUUGGGUUAAGUCCCGCAACGAGCGCAACCCUUGACCUUAGUUGCCAGCAUUCAGUUGGGCACUCUAAGGUGACUGCCGGUGACAAACCGGAGGAAGGUGGGGAUGACGUCAAAUCAUCAUGCCCCUUAUGACCUGGGCUACACACGUGCUACAAUGGAUGGUACAAAGGGUUGCGAAGCCGCGAGGUGAAGCCAAUCCCAGAAAGCCAUUCUCAGUUCGGAUUGCAGGCUGCAACUCGCCUGCAUGAAGCCGGAAUUGCUAGUAAUCGCGGAUCAGCAUGCCGCGGUGAAUA